rnacentral:rRNA from 1 species
UGGCUCAGGAUGAACGCUGGCGGCGUGCCUAACACAUGCAAGUCGAACGGGGUUAAGUGAAAUUUUCGGAUGGAGCUUAACUUAGUGGCGGACGGGUGAGUAACGCGUGGAUAACCUGCCUCACACUGGGGGGAUAGCAGCUGGAAACGGCUGGUAAUACCGCAUAAGACCACAGCACCGCAUGGUGCAGGGGUAAAAGAUUUAUCGGUGUGAGAUGGAUCCGCGUCUGAUUAGCCAGUUGGCGGGGUAACGGCCCACCAAAGCGACGAUCAGUAGCCGGCCUGAGAGGGUGAACGGCCACAUUGGGACUGAGACACGGCCCAAACUCCUACGGGAGGCAGCAGUGGGGAAUAUUGCACAAUGGGCGCAAGCCUGAUGCAGCAACGCCCGCGUGAGUGAAGAAGUAUUUCGGUAUGUAAAGCUCUAUCGGCAGGGAAGAAAGGCCCUUAACAGGGAGAUGACGGUACCUGACUAAGAAGCCCCGGCUAACUACGUGCCAGCCGCAGC